ACAUUCUGCCAUAAAGCUCUUCAUAGCUCCACGUCUCUGCAUGUUUAGAACUUUCACUGCAACAAUCUUGCUCUCCGUCGGGAGCAAUGCCUUGAACACAGUACCAAAACUACCUGACCCAACCAUAUUGCUUGAAGAGAAGCCAUUUGUCGCAUUUCGUAGAUCUCCAUAGCUUAUCUUCUCAUGGAAAAUCUCCAACUUAGAAGGAACCAGGUUAUUUGUCUGCUGGUUCUUCCUUCUUUUUCUGAACCAACACAGAACCAUCGAAGCUAUGACCAACAGCAAUAGCAAAGCUAUGCCUAUGCUUACUAAAAUUGCAACUUUCUUUAAAUGAGAGGAAUGCUUUGUCUCCACUGGUGGUUCUUGGGCGAGGCAUGGCUUUAGUUUCAGAUCCUUGAUGCCUCCACAUAGGUUUUUGUUUCCAAAUACAAAAACUAUUGUAGAGUUCUGAAAAUUUCCUUUGGAAGGCACCUUUCCCGUAAAAUUGUUAAUAGAUAGAUUGAGAUAUUCCAACUUGGAGAAGUUUGCAAAAUAUUCAGGUAUACUUCCCGAUAGAUCAUUGUUUGACAAAUCAACUCUUCUUACACCCAUCAACCCUCUUAUAUUUGGAAUUGCUCCAUCAAAAGAAUUUCCUUGUAGAAAAAGUUGUUCCAUCGCGAGACAAUUUCCCAAGGUUUGUGGGAGAUGUCCUGAAAACUUAUUGUUCUCAAGUGAUAGUUUUACAAGAUUUUGUAGACUUCCAAUAUCAUUUGGUAGAGAGCCGCUCAAAGAGUUACCUUCCAUGCUUAGGUUAACAAGGGUUGGGAUUUGCAUAAUUUCCUUCGGUAUAGUCCCAUUCAACUUGUUAUACCCAAUGCGUAAAUCAAGCAUGUGACUACACUUCCCGAGACUCGGAGGAACAAUUCCCUCAAAACUAUUGUUGGACAAAUAUAGUAUUUCUAAUUGAGUUAGGUUGCCUAUAAAAGAUGGAAUCUCUCCUGACAUCCUAUUUGAAUAUAGACUUAAUAACCCCAAUCUUAGAAGCUUUCCCAAAGAAGUUGGGAGUGGUCCGGUCAACAUAUUUUUUCCCAACUGAAGUCUUUGUAGGCCUAUGAGAUUCCCAAUAUCUUGAGGAAUGCUUCCAAAAAAGUGGUUUCCUAUAAGGUUUAAACUGAUGAGUUCUGUGGACAUAUUGGCAAUGGAUGUAGGCAAGGCACCCCCAAGCCUAGUGUAACCAACACUUAAGAGUUGCAAAUGGGUGCAAUUAGUCAAAGAAUCAAUAAAUUCAAGAUCUCCAAAAGUGUAACUUCCUAGAGGAUUCUCACUAAGAUCUAGGUAUUGCAAACUCGGUACUUUUCCAAAGUUCGGAUAUAUACCUCCUGUCAUCAUGUUUUUGUUGAUUCCAAACUUUUGUAGAGUUGAAAUAUUGGAAAGUGUUGUUGGAAUGGCUCCCACUAGAUCAUUUUCUCCCAGAUUUAACUCACGAAUGUUUGGUAGCAGAUUACCAAAAUCAGGCUUUAGGCUACCCGAGAAGCCACUACCAAAGAGGAAUAAGUCCUCAAGUGCGGACAAAUUGUAGAUGGCGGGAGGAAAAACGCCAAAGAAUUUGUUCAUUGAUAACCCAAGACCCACCAUUUGACUCAGUCUAGCUAAUUCAUCUGGAACUUCUCCUUCUAUAUUGUUAUCUGUGAAGCCAAGCGAUUUUAAAGAGGUCAAGUUUCCUAGAGAUCUAGGGAGCUUGCCUUUCAGGUUGUUUCGACCAAGAUCUAAAAUAACGAGUUUCGUCAAUGACCCUAGUUCAGAAGGAACACCUUGUCUAAGAGGAUUUGAAUAUAAAUCAAGGUUCAACAAUCUAGAGCAGUUAGAUAGAGUGGCUGGAAUCCCUCCCUCUAGAGAAUUGAAGGCCAUAUACAAGUGUUCAAGUCUAAACAAGUUUCCCACCUCUCGAGGGAUGAUACCCCCAAAAGCGUUAUCAGACAGAUCAAGUGAUAUGAGAAACGAUACAUUACCGAUAGAUGGUGAUACUAUCCCGCCCAACUGUAAUCCCCCGAGGUUCAAAUGAGUAACUCUCUUGUGUUUACGACCACAUGUAACCCACUUCCAGUUGCAUAGAGGGAAUGAGUUAUUCCAUGAGGAUAAGACAUCUCUUUUGCCUUCAGAAACUUGAGACUUGAACUCCAACAAUGCUUGCCUAUCAGUUUCAUCGGUA